AACGAACGCUGGCGGCAGGCUUAACACAUGCAAGUCGAGCGCCCGUAGCAAUACGGGAGCGGCGCACGGGUGAGUAACGCGUGGGAACCUGUCCCGCGGUACGGCACAACCCAGGGAAACUUGGGCUAAUACCGUAUACGCACUAUGGUGGAAAGAAUUUCGCCGUGGGAGGGGCCCGCGUAGGAUUAGCUAGUUGGUGAGGUAAUGGCUCACCAAGGCUUCGAUCCUUAGCUGGUCUGAGAGGAUGAUCAGCCACACUGGGACUGAGACACGGCCCAGACUCCUACGGGAGGCAGCAGUGGGGAAUAUUGGACAAUGGGCGCAAGCCUGAUCCAGCCAUGCCGCGUGAAUGAUGAAGGUCUUAGGAUUGUAAAAUUCUUUCACCGGGGACGAUAAUGACGGUACCCGGAGAAGAAGCCCCGGCUAACUUCGUGCCAGCAGCCGCGGUAAU
rnacentral:rRNA from 1 species